AAAAAGGGCUUCUGUCGUGAGUGGCACACGUAGGGCAGCUUGAUUGCUCUACGUGCGGAAUCGACAUCAAGAGAUUUCGGAAGCAUAAUUUUUUGGUACCUGGGCAGCUAGUGAUCGUUGGUCCUAGCGCCUGC